rnacentral:tRNA from 1 species
UCCUCUGUAGUUCAGUCGGUAGAACGGCGGACUGUUAAUCCGUAUGUCACUGGUUCGACUCCAGUCAGAGGAGCCA